UAGCAAUAGCUACUUGCAUCAUUGUAAAUAUGAUGCAAGAUCGACUAUGUCGAAUAAAAUUCUAGGUAGAAUUAUGAUAAUGACAUUGUCUGCCUAUGUGUCUUGACCAAAUUACGUGCCAGCAGUCGCGGUAAUACGUAGAAGACUAGUGUUAUUCAUGUUUAAUCGGUUUAAAGGGUACCUAGACGGUAAAUCAAGCCUAAAAGGAAAUAAAUGAAGGGACUAAUUUACUAGAGUUACUUAUGAGGGGGUAUUAAAGUACUGCUGGUGUAGAGAUGAAAUUCUGUCAUACCUCUUUUCAAUAGAAAAAUAAUGGCACAGGUAUAGGCGAAAGCAUCCCCUUAUGUGAUAACUGACGUUGAGGGACGAAGGCUUUGUGUAGCGAACAGGAUUAGAUACCCCAGUAGUCAAAGCAGAAAAUGAUGAAUGUCAUAGAUUAGAUAUAUAAGUUUAUUCUAUAAAUGAAAGUGUAAGCAUUCCACCUCAAGAGUAAUUUGGCAACAUUGGAACUGAAAUCAUUAGACCGUUUCUGAAACCAGUAGUGAAGUAUGUUGUUUAAUUUGAUGAUCCGCAAAAAACCUUACCACAAUUUGAAUAUUUAUAUCUUUUAUUGUUUUUCUUUUUAACUUUCUUCUGAUUUUCUACUUAAAAGAAAACAAUAACAAGGAAAAAGAGGCAAUAAGAUAUAUUUACAAGCGUUGCACGGCUGUCUUCAGUUAAUGUCGCGAGACUCUGGUUAGUUCCAUUAAAUUAACGUAAACCCUUACUUUAUUUUUAUAUAGAGUAGUUCCCCGCUAUAUUGGAUAUGAUAACAGGGACUAAGACAAGUCAUCAUGGCCCUAAAUAUUGUGGGCUAUAGA
rnacentral:rRNA from 1 species